rnacentral:rRNA from 1 species
GACGAACGCUGGCGGCGUGCCUAAUACAUGCAAGUCGAGCGGACUGAAUGGGAGCUUGCUCUUGUUCGGUCAGCGGCGGACGGGUGAGUAACACGUGGGCAACCUGCCCGCAAGACCGGGAUAACUCCGGGAAACCGGAGCUAAUACCGGAUAACACCGAAGACCGCAUGGUCUUUGGUUGAAAGGCGGCGCAAGCUGCCACUUGCGGAUGGGCCCGCGGCGCAUUAGCUAGUUGGUGAGGUAACGGCUCACCAAGGCGACGAUGCGUAGCCGGCCUGAGAGGGUGACCGGCCACACUGGGACUGAGACACGGCCCAGACUCCUACGGGAGGCAGCAGUAGGGAAUCUUCCGCAAUGGGCGAAAGCCUGACGGAGCGACGCCGCGUGAGCGAAGAAGGCCUUCGGGUCGUAAAGCUCUGUUGUGAGGGACGAAGGAGCGCCGUUUGAAGAAGGCGGCGCGGUGACGGUACCUCACGAAGAAGCCCCGGCUAACUACGUG